GUGAACAAUUUAUACUUGCAUUCAGGAUUACAUUCGAGGUACCUAUUCUUAUGUGUCUAUACUCAUUCCUAACGUUAAGAAAGGACUAUAUGUUGCCCAGAGCUCUCUGUACAAUUUAAUUCUAGAGCAAAAAGGUAGAACUUUUGCAAGACAAAAUAAACUUGAUUCUGGGCAGUCCACUUUCAGUAAAACAAAACUUGAUUUAUUUGGGAGUGUAUUUCAAAAGACUGGUUGGUUUUUCUUUUGGAAGUUCAUAUUUAUUUUGUUAGAAAGUUCGGUUCAUAAUUAUUCCGCGUAGAAAGUCUACUUCUGCUCCCGCCAAGUUUAGUAUUUCAUGUGAGGUAGUAAAAAUAUUUACAUUUGGUUAACGAGUUGGGUUAAACCCAUUGCGAAGUUCGCAUUUAAUUUUUGGGAAGUUCUGUUGGUCCAAUUCACCUUAUUGUGAAAUUUCUUUUUAAAUUCGUAAGUUGGUUUCGCUCCAGAUCUACUCACAGUUCACUAUGUUCAAAAUGGCAAGUUCACUCUUUUUAUUUUGCGGGAGUCCAUUUCAUGUGCAUCAUAUACAUCAGGGAAGUGCACUCCAUACAUCCCGGGCAGUUCACUCUGUGUUGUAAAAUUUAAGAAUGUUAAAGUAAAUCAUUGCACUUGUUCAUACCUGCAGUCUGGACACAAAUAGGUAUAGUUGUGACAAAGUUUCUAAGAAGUUGCUACCGAGUUUCUGUGCUCGAACCUGAAGGCAAUCAAAUGUUAGUUUCUUGAUUAUUACUAGUCUUUUGUUGGUCUAUCCUAGUACCAGGCUACCAGCCAUUAAGGAAGGCCUCGAAGAACCCUCGGCCACCAUCACAUACACCAGCAGCAAUGUCAUGUCGAUCCAACCAUUACGGCGCUAAAAUGGUAAUGGAACACUACUUGACUGAGCCUACUAUGCUAUAUCUAAGACGUGUCAUGAUCAUACGGUAAUACUCCAUGGGGAUUUCAACGCUAAAACUUAAGUACCCACAAGCAGCAUUGCAACAAGCUGUGAGUUCUUGCGGCUGGCUCCUACGGUUGUCACUGCAAGUCAUGCUCUUCAUUGCGUGAAGCAGCCGAGCACAAGUGCACAAAAAAAAUAAAGGUGCGGAGAUGAAGAGCUCAUUUUUCCUAAUCUGUGGAGUUCAUUUCUCCUAAUUCGUGAGGUUCACAUCUUCUGCUACUUUAGUUUAGAUAUUCUUGCUAGAUUGACUAUUAUUUUAUUUCUUUUUGAUAGUGUAAAGUUCCAUGUGCAUAAAUGUAGCUACACUGGGGGUUCACUCGUGUAUCCUCGACAGUCCAGCGGGCUUCACAUCGCUCU